UGCAUGAUGAUGGAGGAGUGUAACUAUGAAAGCUCAGCCCUGUGCAUAACCCCACAGACAUUAACAUUCCAUUUAAGUAAAUUUCAUGCUCUAAGUUCUCUAAUAUUUAAUGAAAUAAUUACUCUUAAUCAGGCAAGUUUUUGAAUUUGUAUGAGCUAAUAAGGUUCCUAAAAUUAUUGAGUUCCGUGAGAAAGAUUAACACCAAGUGUUCCUAUGGCAAUGUGAACAGACGUUCCAAGAGUCGUUAUUGGCAGCUGGAGCUGGGAUUUCCUUGGUUGAUUCAGUGGUUGCAGCAUCCAGAGUAAGCAAAGAUCCUCCUGUCGCUUUUGCACUAAUUCGACCUCCUGGUCACCAUGCUGUUCCAAAGGGGGCCAUGGGCUUUUGUGUGUUUGGAAAUAUUGCUAUUGCUGCUCGUUAUGCUCAAAGAAUGCAUGGAUUGAAACGUGUUUUUAUCAUAGACUUUGAUGUUCAUCAUGGAAAUGGAACCAAUGAUGCCUUCUACGAGGACCCAGAUAUAUUUUUCCUUUCAACUCACCAAGUAAGCUACACAUUACAUUGAACAAAUUACUUGGGAAAUCUUGACGUUUUUACUUCUGAAUCAACUGCUAUUAUAAAAUGUAGUUUGAAUGAACGAAAGAACAUUCGGUUUUAUCUAAUAAUU